CGUGCGCCACUACAGCAGUUGAAGCUGCCAGCAUGAUCUCAACUUUUGCUCUCCCUCAGAGCGCAAAGAUGAAAGAUCAUCUGGCAGUUUCACCUUUUGUUGGCUCCACG
rnacentral:pre_miRNA from 1 species